CGCGAAUGGCUCAUUACAACAGCUAUAAUUUACUUGAAUUUGACAACCCUACUUGGAUACCGGUGGUAAUUUUAGCGCUAAUACAUGCACCAAAGCUCCGACCGCGAGGGAAGAGCGCAUUUAUUAGAACAAAACCACACGGCUUCGGCCGUCCAAUGUUGACUCAGAAUAACUAAGCUGAUCGCAUGGUCUUGCACCGGCGACGUUUCUUUCAAGUAUCUGCCUUAUCAACUUUCGAUGGUAGUGUAUCUGACUACCAUGGUGAUGACGGGUAACGGAGGAUAAGGGUUCGACUCCGGAGAAGGGGCCUGAGAAAUGGCCACUACGUCUAAGGAUGGCAGCAGGCGCGCAAAUUACCCACUCUCAGUACGAGGAGGUAGUGACGAGAAAUAACAAGACCGUUCUCACAAGAGGCCGGUCAUUGGAAUGGGUACAAUUUAAACCCUUUAACGAGUAUCUAUGAGAGGGCAAGUCUGGUGCCAGCAGCCGCGGUAAUUCCAGCU
rnacentral:rRNA from 1 species